rnacentral:rRNA from 1 species
AGUGGGUGUAACGUACCUACUAGCCUACGACGGGUACGGGUUGUGAGAGCAAGAGCCCGGAGAUGGAUUCUGAGACAUGAAUCCAGGCCCUACGGGGUGCAGCAGGCGCGAAAACUUUACAAUGCGGGCAACCGCGAUAAGGGGACCUCGAGUGCUGGGUUACAAACCUGGCUGUUGGGCUGCCUAAAAAGCAGUCUAUAGCAAGGGCCGGGCAAGACCGGUGCCAGCCGCCGCGGUAACACCGGCGGCUCGAGUGGUAACCGCUAUUAUUGGGUCUAAAGGGUCUGUAGCCGGCCGACUAAGUCUCUUGGGAAAUCUGGCAUCUCAAGUGUCAGGCUGCCAGGGGAUACUGGUCGGCUUGGGACCGGGAGAGGUGAGAGGUACCUCGGGGGUAGGGGUGAAAUCUUGUAAUCCUCGAGGGACCACCAGUGGCGAAGGCGUCUCACCAGAACGGAUCCGACGGCAAGGGACGAAAGCUAGGGGCACGAACCGGAUUAGAU